rnacentral:rRNA from 1 species
UACGGAGGAUCCAAGCGUUAUCCGGAUUUAUUGGGUUUAAAGGGUGCGUAGGCGGCUUAUUAAGUCAGGGGUGAAAGACGGUGGCUCAACCAUCGCAGUGCCUUUGAUACUGAUGAGCUUGAAUGAACUAGAGGUAGGCGGAAUGUGACAAGUAGCGGUGAAAUGCAUAGAUAUGUCACAGAACACCGAUUGCGAAGGCAGCUUACUAUGGUUUUAUUGACGCUGAGGACGAAAGCGUGGGGAGCGAACAGG